CGCUGCUUCCUCGCGCGCUGGGUGUUUCCUCCGGCUUCGGGCCGGGCCGCUAGGGCGGUGACCUGCAGCCCGGUUCCGUGUUGACACGCUAGGUACUGGAGUUCUGUUUACAUACCUUAGAGAACGACCAAAAGGUCUCACUCUGUUGCCCAGGCUGGAGUGCAGUGGCACGAUCUUGGCUCACUGCAACCUCCCACUCCUGGGUUCAAACGAUUCUCCUGCCUCAGCCUCCGGUCAACUGGAUAACAUUUAAAACAAUAAAUGCAACUACUUGUAUUGGAUUUAAAAGAGCAACAAAUGACAGGGUAUACUUCGUCACCAGCAAUCAAUCAGAAGCAACAGACGUGACAUUGUGACAUUUGGAGUCUAGGCCUCAAGAGGCCCUAUACACUCUGCUCUCAGAACCCUGCCCAGCCUCCAUGAGAAGUCCGGCUAGCCUGCAGGAGCAUGAGAGACCACACAGACCACAGCUGAAUCACAGCAGUUGUUCAAGUUUAGACCUCAGAUUUAUGAGAGAACCCAGGCAAGAUAAAGUGGGGGCCUGACCCAGGUGAACUGAACUCCCCAGCAUAUCCUAGACUCACAAGCACUGAUAAAUGAUGUUUUACCAAAGUUCUGGGAAUAGUUUGGUCUGUUAUGUAGCAAUAGAUCACUCAUAAAGAAUUUAUGAAAUGAAACAAAACAUCCUACAACUGAAUUCUAAAACAACUAAGUAAGCGGAACUUAAUUAAGUGGAACAGGUCCAUUGCCCUUCCCAACCAUGGGAAUUUCUCCUGGAGUCACUCAUCCUCAAGGAAUGCUUUAUCUUUGUCCUUACCACAUUCCUAUAAAAAAAAACUUACUGGCUCUGUGCGUUCUUUAUAGCCUUGAUCUAUUUCAAAAUGAUAGCUACAAAUCUGAUGAACCAAUCUAUAGUAAUAUGUUUUUACUUUCCCUCUCCUUCCAGCUACCAUUUUGUAUUUCAGCCAUAUGUCCCCAAUGUUUACAAUAAUAUUAUAAGCUAAAUAUCUGAUAGUAGGAAUUUCUAAAAAUUCCAGUCAAUGCCUCUUCACCUUUCCUCCUUUAUGUCAGGCUUGCUAUUAUACUGUGAAUGUCAGUUCAUCAGUGUAAACUGUAUUUGUUCAUCUGUAAUAUAAUAGAAUUGAAAUAAAAGAUUUCUAUCAUUUCUUGUA